rnacentral:tRNA from 1 species
GACGGUAUAGCUUAGUGGGAGAGUGCCUGCUUAGCAUGCACAAGGUCCUGGGUUCAAUCCCCAGUACCUCCA